GAUGAACGCUGGCGGCGUGCCUAAUACAUGCAAGUCGAGCGAACGGACGAGAAGCUUGCUUCUCUGAUGUUAGCGGCGGACGGGUGAGUAACACGUGGAUAACCUACCUAUAAGACUGGGAUAACUUCGGGAAACCGGAGCUAAUACCGGAUAAUAUUUUGAACCGCAUGGUUCAAAAGUGAAAGAAGGUCUUGCUGUCGCUUAUAGAUGGAUCCGCGCUGCAUGAGCUAGUUGGUAAGGUAACGGCUUACCAAGGCAACGAUGCAUAGCCGACGUGAGAGGGUGUGCGGGCACACUGGGACUGAGAGACGGCACAGACUCCGACGGGAGGCAGCAGUAGGGAAUCUUGCGAGAUGGGCGAAAGCUUGACGGAGCAACGCCGCGUGAGUGAUGAAGGUCUUCGGAUCGGAAAACUCUGUUAUUAGGGAAGAACAUUUGUGUAAGUAACUGUGCACAUCUUGACGGUACCUAAUCAGAAAGCCACGGCUAACUACGUG
rnacentral:rRNA from 1 species